rnacentral:rRNA from 1 species
AUGCGAUACUUGGUGUGAAUUGCAGAAUUCCCCCCAGUGAAUCAUCGUAUCUAUUGAACGCAGCUUGCGCCCUUUGGUAUUCCGAGGGGCAUGCCUGUUUGAGUGUCAUUAAAUACCAUCAACCCUCUUUUGACUUCGGUCUCGAGAGUGGCUUGGAAGUGGAGGUCUGCUGGAGCCUAACGGAGCCAGCUCCUCUUAAAUGUAUUAGCGGAUUUCCCUUGCGGGAUCGCGUCUCCGAUGUGAUAAUUUCUACGUCGUUGACCAUCUCGGGGCUGACCUAGUCAGUUUCAAUAGGAGUCUGCUUCCAACCGUCUCUUGACCGAGACUAGCGACUUGUGCGCUAACUUUUGACUUGACCUCAAAUCAGGUAGGACUGGCCGCUGAACUUAAGCAUAUCAAUAAGCGGAGGAA